rnacentral:tRNA from 1 species
GCCAGCGUGGCGGAAUUGGCAGACGCAGCGGAUUCAAAAUCCGCCGCCCGAAAGGGCUUGAGGGUUCGACUCCCUCCUCCGGCA